rnacentral:lncRNA from 1 species
CUUGAACUGAGAGUCCCAUUUCUAGAUCAUCAAUUUUCUUCCUAUUACUUUUCUCUGACACCAGAAAUGAGAAUUCCAAAGAAUGUGAUAGAAAAACAUCUCCUGAGAGAGACAUUUGAGGACUCCAAUUGGAUACUCAAAGAGAUUCUCUGGUGACCAAAAGGAGCCUUCAGUGAUCAAAUAACUUCAGUUAAGAAUUCCUGGUUUAAGAUUUUACAGGAAUACAUUGAACAUCAGGUUGAUGAUGCAAUGAUGGCAAAUGCAGCCCAGAAAUUUCCCUUCAAUAUUCCUAAAAGCAAAGAAGGAUAUUAAUAUCAUCAAAUCUUUGAAUGCCAUUACCCAGGCCAGGCUGACUGGCUGAGCCAUUACUGGAUGCCCAAGUGGAUCAAUGCCACUGACCCUUCUGCCCACACACUGACCCACUACAAGUCAGCUGCCAAAGCUUAA